AUGGACCAUGAGACAAAACAUUUCACUUUUCAAUAAAGGCUGGAGUUCUGCCUUCAUUCAUAAAUCAGCCUCGCAAUUAGGAGAAAGCAAUUAGGUCUGUAAUAAAAUCCUCCUCUUUCUGACAAGGUUUUUGAGAUAAAUGAACCAAGGACGAAGAAGCAUCGUAUCUUGGUUAUAAAAUCGUCUAGGGAUAGAGGGACCCUUGAGUGAGGAGUCUCCUUGGACAGUCAGGAGUCCAAGGGCAAGGCCAGCAGAGGUGUUGCCCCGAAGCUCUGCCUCUUUCUCGCAGGAGCCACCCACCAUGAGCACAUCCUCAGCUCCUAGGAACAGAGCUGUGGCUGGGGAACCAUCCUGAAAGCAUGAAGCCUAGAAGUCAGGGUGUGCCUGUGUGGCAUGGCACUGACUGACAUUCGUCUUUUCUUUUUAAUUGUUCCUUCGAUAUUUGCAUGUCUUUUUAAGACUAUGAUGUUAAAGCGUGUGUUAACAAUGUGAGUGAAUUUAGGUAAAUCAAAGUAUUGAACAUCUGUCAGUUGAGCUUAACCAAUAGGAACAUUUUUCAACAGACUCAGGGCUACCAUGGAUACACUGGUAGCCUUCCUGGCCACUUUUUAAAUCAAUCAAUCAAUCAAUCAAUCAAUCAAUCUCUCUCUCUCUCUCUCUCUCUCUCUCUCUCUCUCUCUCUCUCUCUCCUUCCCUCCAUCCCCCAUCCCUCCUUUCCUUACCUCCUUCCUUUCCUCCCUCCCUUCUUUCUUCACAAGUUCUCGUGUAGCCCAGGCAGGCCUUGAACUCAAUAUAUAGACAAGGCUGUCCUUGAACUCCUGAUCCUUCUGACUCUACCUCCCAAGCACUGGGAUUACAGGUAUGUGUCAUGUUACAGAUUUCUUUUGUCCUCCUAAAAGGAAGGGUAACUCUCAUCCUCUCUAAGACUGCACAGGUUGUCCCACUACCUUCUCAGCAUAAACUUGCCUUUGUUGGCCAUUUAACACUGAAAGGCAUCAGACCUCAGUCCUGGGAGGGGAGUACCUCUCCCUCCUGACCAUAUUAUCCCAUUUCUAAACAGAGGUUGCUUUGUGGCCUGACCUCUCCUUCCCUCCAGGUCUCUCUCUCGUGUUUACUGGUGUGAUGUGUGCCCCUUCAUGGAACAGACCUCUGUGUUAUUUCACUGCUCCAGAAUCUUCUUUCUCACUCUAGGUUUAGGACCAUUAACACAGUCAGCCAGUCUUUGAGAAGUGUAUUUCUGUGGCUACCCACAUAUCAUGCCCUGGUUCUUCCUCUCUUUAUGAUGCCUCCUCCUCUGUCUGGCGUCUUGUCUGUAGCGUCUGAGUACUGAGAGACCUCAGAAUGUAUAAUUUCUCUGUAGUGUCUGAGUCCUCAGAGACCUCAGGAUGUAUCCUUUCUCUGUAGCAUCUGAGUACUGAGAGACCUUACGAUGUAUGCAGCAUGUAUCCUAUCUCUUUCCUACAUGACUCUCUCUGGUCACUUAACAUUAACUCCCAAAUGUUCCCCUCCAGACCAGUUUCUCUUUCUUGAUCUGGACUUCUUUAUUGACUGUCCGGACCCAUGGGAACUUAUGCCAUCUCUGAACUGCCAUUUCUCACAAACUCUGCAUCAGAGCCAAAACCUUAAUACCACUGGCUGGUGUCCAUAGUCUCUUGCCUCAAUGUUUUAGAUGCAGCAAUUAUCUGGAGCCCAUUUUCCUUAGAGCAGUCAGAGGACUAUUGAAGUCAGGGUGAGGACAAAGCAAAUGCUGAACUGCUAUUUAAAUGUUCACAGCCCAAAUGGGAAUGGUUUAACAUUACUUUUCCCUUUAAUUACACUUUAAUUAAUUUAGCCAAUUUUAGUCUGUUAGUACAUAAAUAUCACCACUCACAAGACUAAAUAUAUUAGCCUAGCGUAGAAUAUGUCAUCUUAACUAUUGGCUGUUGACCUUAUACCUCAAUACUGAUCCUUUAUAGCUGUUUCAACUUUAAAAUAUUUUGACCUUGUUUCUGUCUGCAUGUGAAUAUUACCAGAUUUCUAGCACCAUUUUUAAUGAGUAAAAGAAGAAAAACUGACUAGAUCAUUUGUAUCUUUAGUAUUGUUAAUUUUAUGACACCAUAAUUUUAUCUAACUAGACUAAUUUUAUGUAGACUGAAUGGUAUUUUGUGAUGUGUCCUCAUUACCAAAAUGCCAAGGUUAAAAUAUUCUAUAAUUUUAAUUGCUCUUCUGUCCCACUCAAUCAUGAUGUCAGUGUUAGCUGUAACUGUACC
rnacentral:lncRNA from 1 species